rnacentral:rRNA from 1 species
UACGAAGGGGGCUAGCGUUGCUCGGAAUCACUGGGCGUAAAGCGCACGUAGGCGGCUUUCUAAGUCAGGGGUGAAAUCCUGGAGCUCAACUCCAGAACUGCCUUUGAUACUGGAAAGCUUGAGUUCGGGAGAGGUGAGUGGAACUGCGAGUGUAGAGGUGAAAUUCGUAGAUAUUCGCAAGAACACCAGUGGCGAAGGCGGCUCACUGGCCCGAUACUGACGCUGAGGUGCGAAAGCUAGGGGAGCAAACGGG